GAGAAGAACGCAGCGAAAUGCGAUAAGUAGUGUGAAUUGCAGAAGUACCGUGAAUCAUCGAAUCUUUGAACGCAAAUUGCACUCUCUGGUAUUCCGGGGAGUAUGCCUGUUUGAGGGUCGCUUAACAAACCAUCGAUUUCGUUGCUUUUUUUUUUAAAGUGAUGUUUAUCGGAUUUGAGCCGUCUUUUUUUUUAUAUUUAAGUGGCUUAAAAUUGAUUUUUUUGGUACGAUCGAAGCGUAUUUUUAUGAUCAAUUUUUGGUUAAAGAAACGCACACGUACCGUUAUUUAUAUGAUGUAAUACGUUUGACUAUUGGAUUUAGUUCAUUCGUAUACGAUAUCUUUCAAUAUUUGACCUCAAAUCAGGUAAGAACACCCGCUGAACUUAAGCAUAUCAAUAAGCGGAGGA
rnacentral:misc_RNA from 1 species